rnacentral:rRNA from 1 species
UACGUAGGGGGCAAGCGUUGUCCGGAAUCAUUGGGCGUAAAGCGCGUGUAGGCGGCUCGGUAAGUCUGCUGUGAAAGUCCAGGGCUCAACCCUGGGAUGCCGGUGGAUACUGUCGAGCUCGAGUCCGGAAGAGGCGAGUGGAAUUCCUGGUGUAGCGGUGAAAUGCGCAGAUAUCAGGAGGAACACCGGUGGCGAAGGCGGGUCUCUGGGCCGAUACUGACGCUGAGGAGCGAAAGCGUGGGGAGCAAACAGG